CAGAGACGAGGAUGUGCGUGGGGGCUCGGCGGCUGGGCCGCGGGCCGUGUGCGGCUCUGCUCCUCCUGGGCCUGGGGCUGAGCACCGUGACGGGGCUCCACUGUGUCGGGGACACCUACCCCAGCAACGACCGGUGCUGCCACGAGUGCAGGCCAGGCAACGGGAUGGUGAGCCGCUGCAGCCGCUCCCAGAACACGGUGUGCCGUCCGUGCGGGCCGGGCUUCUACAACGACGUGGUCAGCUCCAAGCCGUGCAAGCCCUGCACGUGGUGUAACCUCAGUGAGCUCCCACCUGGCCCCACAGCCCCACCCAGCACAGGGGGCGGCAGCCUGGCACCCACAUUCCCACGCAGCAGCAUGGGGCUCCCACAGCCGCAGAAACGAACCUCAAACCACAGCGGGGUCUGCUCCGCCACAGGGGUCCUUCGAGGAGCUGAGGCGUCUCCCAGGGGCACCCCCUCUCCCUCCGGGGGCCCAGACUCGGCCCAGGCCACGUGGAGUCGGGGAGACCACGCUGGCCAUGUGGCCUGGCCUUGCUGGCCUGAGCAGUGAGGCUGGGGGGUUGGGCCAUGGAGACCCUGCCGCAGGCGGGGCUGGCGGCUGGAGGCGGUGGAGGGGUAGGGAAGGGUGGCUGGGGCUGCCACGGAACCAGCCCCAGGUUGUGGCCAGGAAGGGAGGGCCCAGGAGCCUCGGGGGCUGCAGGGGCUCCAAGUCUCAGGGGAGGCCGCAGACCCCUGCCCACGGCCCUCUGUGUGGUGGGGAGGCCAACCUGUCCUCCAGUGCCCACGCUUCCUGAGGACCCUGUCCACAGCCCCCACCUGACCACCCCCCCAUCCGGCCCCUGCUCAGGAAGUGGGAGUGAGCGGAAGCAGCUGUGCACGGCCACACAGGACACAGUCUGCCGCUGCCGGGCGGGCACCCAGCCCCUGGACAGCUACAAGCCUGGAGUUGACUGUGCCCCCUGCCCUCCAGGGCACUUCUCCCCAGGCGACAACCAGGCCUGCAAGCCCUGGACCAACUGCACCUUGGCUGGGAAGCACACCCUGCAGCCGGCCAGCAAUAGCUCGGACGCAAUCUGUGAGGACAGGGACCCCCCAGCCACGCAGCCCCAGGAGACCCAGGGCCCCCCGGCCAGGCCCAUCACUGUCCAGCCCACUGAAGCCUGGCCCAGAACCUCACAGGGACCCUCCACCCGGCCCGUGGAGGUCCCCGGGGGCCGUGCGGUUGCCGCCAUCCUGGGCCUGGGCCUGGUGCUGGGGCUGCUGGGCCCCCUGGCCAUCCUGCUGGCCCUGUACCUGCUCCGGAGGGACCAGAGGCUGCCCCCCGAUGCCCACAAGCCCCCUGGUGAGUGCCUCAUGGCCCUGCCGCACUGCUCCUGGCGGGUGAGGCCCACCCACCAAUCUCUCCUUUUUUCCUCCCCAGGGGGAGGCAGUUUCCGGACCCCCAUCCAAGAGGAGCAGGCCGACGCCCACUCCACCCUGGCCAAGAUCUGACCUGGGCCCACCAAGGUGGACGCUGGGCCCCGCCAGGCUGGAGCCCGGAGGGUCUGCUGGGCGAGCAGGGCAGGUGCAGGCCGCCUGCCCCGCCACGCUCCUGGGCCAACUCUGCACCGUUCUAGGUGCCGAUGGCUGCCUCCGGCUCUCUGCUUACGUAUGCCAUGCAUACCUCCUGCCCCGCGGGACCACAAUAAAAACCUUGGCAGACGGGA
rnacentral:lncRNA from 1 species